rnacentral:lncRNA from 10 species
AGGGGAAUUGCCCAUUCUAGCAGGGAACUUAAGUUCCAGUAAACAUUGACACAUUGGACUGGAGUGCUCUGGGGCUAAGUAAACUAGAAAGGCAGUCUAGGUCACAAGGACUGUAACUCCUAGGCAAGUCCUAGUGCUAAACUGGGCUCAGAGUCAGUUAACUGGGGUGAGGUGGACACAACCUACUGAAACACCAGCUGUGGUAUCUAGGGGAGGGAUGGCACCACUCCCCACCUAAACCCCAGGCUGCACAGCUGAUGGCUCCAAAAGAGACUCCUUCCUUUCACUUGAGAAGAGGAGAGGGAAGACUGGGGAAGACUUUGUAUUCCAGCGCAGCCACAGCAGAAUGUGGCACUGGUUAGAGUGGUGAGGUCCUUUUUUCAGGCCCCUAGAUCUUGGAUAAUAAUUCUAGACAUACUCUGGACCACAGGGGAACCUGCUGCUUUGAAGGGAAGCAUCCAGUCAUGGCAGAAUACAUCACCUGCUAGCUGAAGAUCCUUGGGCCCUGAAUAACCAGCAGCAAUACUCAUGGCAAACAAAGCAAAAACGUAAAACAGGAUCACAUCAAGUCCAAACACUUCUGCGCAGCAAAAGAAACAACAAAGCGAAGACACAGCUCACAGAAUGGGAGAAAAUAUUUGCGAACUAACCAUCUGACAAAGGACUCAUAACCAACAUGUAUAUAUAAGAGCUCAAACAACACAACAGGAAAAAUUAUCUAGUAAUCUGAUUAAAAAAUGGGCAGAAGAUCUGAACAUAUAUCACUCAAAAGAAGACUAUACAAAUGGCAAACAGGUAUAUGAAAAGAUGCCCAACAUCAUUGAUUGUCAGAGAAAUGCAAAUCCAAACUACAAUGAGAUAUAGUCUCACUCCAGCAAAAAUGGCUUUUAUCAAUAUGGCAGGUAAUAACUAAUGCUGAUGAGGAUGUGGAGAAGAGGAAACCCUCAUGCACUGUUGGUGGGAAUGUAAAUCAUUACAACUACUGUAGAGAAUAUUUUGGAAGUUCCACAAAAAACUCAAAAAAGAGCCAGCAUAUGAUCCAGCAAUGUCACUGCCAGGUAUAGAUUCCAAAGAAAGGAAAUAUCUGCACUCCCAUAUUUAUUGCAGCACUAUUCACUGUAGCUACAAUUUGGAAGCAACCUUAGUGUCCAUCAGCAGAUGAAUAGAUAAAGAAAAUGUGGUAUGUGUAUAUAAUUAAGUAUCCAUCAGCCA